rnacentral:rRNA from 1 species
AUGGAGUGUAACUUAAAGGAAGCUUUUUGGAAUGUCCGUGGUCGAAACUCUGGUGCCAAGCGCAUAGCCGUUCGCAGCAUGAUCUUCGCUGCCGCACCUAGCAUCGUUUGUCUUCAAGAGACAAAACUCGCCCAUGUCUCCGAUUCCAUCGUGUUCGACACGCUACGUCCCUCCUUCAAGGACUACUUCUUUCUCCCCGCUACCGGCACCCGCGGCGCCAUCCUUCUUGCCUGGCGGUGUUCUACCAUAUCCUUCUCCAACCCACUAGUCGGUGAGCAUCACGUAACUACCCUGGUCACCCUGCUGGCCGGUGAUGGGCAUUGGCGCCAGAGAAUAGGCUUGAUGACCCACAAGUGUAGGGGAUCAAUUGUAGCUCUUUUGGAUAAUUAA